GCUCUGCCCCUCCCGCUUGGCUGUUGGCGCAGGUAUCUGAGGACAAAAGACACAGGCAUAUCUGUGUCCUGAACUGAGCCUUUGAUCUGCGAAAUGAGCCCACACAUUUCAGUGUGGUAGAGAAACAUGACAUGGACACGCUGUGUUGCUCUGUGCGGCUGCAAGAGAUCCUAAGGAGCUGCCUUCUGUUUCCCUGGUACCGAGUCUCAGCCCCAGGCUUCAGAUCUCUUGUCACAGGGACACACAAAGAGGGCUGAGGAUUGCCAACCCCUCCUCCCUCCACCCCAUCCAACCAGCCUCUGAGACUCCCCUGUGUGGCUCAGCCACCUGUGGGGUGAGAAGCAGAGCAGUAACCAAGACAACAGAACUCCAGCUGCCUUUCCUCCUGGGAGCCUUCUCUCUUCCCUCUGCCUGCCAGCCCUUCCCCUAAGCAAGGAAAUCUUGUGCUUAUAAGUACAGCCUGAGGACCUGCAGCUGUUUUUCACAGAGCGGUACAAUGACCAAGUCAGAAGGGGGCUGACGAAGAUUUUUGUUUGUUCCAAUGCCCUCCGAUCUGAGCUUCUGGAAGAAAGCAGGUGCUACAGACCCUCCCCAGGACUGAGAA